UACGGAGGGUGCAAGCGUUAAUCGGAAUUACUGGGCGUAAAGCGUGCGCAGGCGGUUUGUUAAGUCUGUUGUGAAAUCCCCGAGCCCAACUUGGGAAUUGCAAUGGAUACUGGCAGGCUCGAGUAUGGUAGAGGAAGGUGGAAUUCCCGGUGUAGCAGUGAAAUGCGUAGAGAUCGGGAGGAACACCAGUGGCGAAGGCGGCCUUCUGGACCAAUACUGACGCUCAUGCACGAAAGCGUGGGGAGCAAACAGG
rnacentral:rRNA from 1 species